GUUGAACGCUGGCGGCGUGCCUAAUACAUGCAAGUCGAGCGAACAGACGAGGAGCUUGCUCCUCUGACGUUAGCGGCGGACGGGUGAGUAACACGUGGAUAACCUACCUAUAAGACUGGGAUAACUUCGGGAAACCGGAGCUAAUACCGGAUAAUAUAUUGAACCGCAUGGUUCAAUAGUGAAAGACGGUUUUGCUGUCACUUAUAGAUGGAUCCGCGCCGCAUUAGCUAGUUGGUAAGGUAACGGCUUACCAAGGCAACGAUGCAUAGCCGACCUGAGAGGGUGAUCGGCCACACUGGAACUGAGACACGGUCCAGACUCCUACGGGAGGCAGCAGUAGGGAAUCUUCCGCAAUGGGCGAAAGCCUGACGGAGCAACGCCGCGUGAGUGAUGAAGGUCUUCGGAUCGUAAAACUCUGUUAUUAGGGAAGAACAUAUGUGUAAGUAACUGUGCACAUCUUGACGGUACCUAAUCAGAAAGCCACGGCUAACUACGUG
rnacentral:rRNA from 1 species